GACGAACGCUGGCGGCGUGCCUAAUACAUGCAAGUUGAGCGCUGAAGGUUGGUACUUGUACCAACUGGAUGAGCAGCGAACGGGUGAGUAACGCGUGGGGAAUCUGCCUUUGAGCGGGGGACAACAUUUGGAAACGAAUGCUAAUACCGCAUAAAAACUUUAAACACAAGUUUUAAGUUUGAAAGAUGCAAUUGCAUCACUCAAAGAUGAUCCCGCGUUGUAUUAGCUAGUUGGUGAGGUAAAGGCUCACCAAGGCGAUGAUACAUAGCCGACCUGAGAGGGUGAUCGGCCACAUUGGGACUGAGACACGGCCCAAACUCCUACGGGAGGCAGCAGUAGGGAAUCUUCGGCAAUGGACGAAAGUCUGACCGAGCAACGCCGCGUGAGUGAAGAAGGUUUUCGGAUCGUAAAACUCUGUUGGUAGAGAAGAACGUUGGUGAGAGUGGAAAGCUCAUCAAGUGACGGUAACUACCCAGAAAGGGACGGCUAACUACGUGCCAGCAGCCGCGGUAAUACGUAGGUCCCGAGCGUUGUCCGGAUUUAUUGGGCGUAAAGCGAGCGCAGGUGGUUUAUUAAGUCUGGUGUAAAAGGCAGUGGCUCAACCAUUGUAUGCAUUGGAAACUGGUAGACUUGAGUGCAGGAGAGGAGAGUGGAAUUCCAUGUGUAGCGGUGAAAUGCGUAGAUAUAUGGAGGAACACCGGUGGCGAAAGCGGCUCUCUGGCCUGUAACUGACACUGAGGCUCGAAAGCGUGGGGAGCAAACAGGAUUAGAUACCCUGGUAGUCCACGCCGUAAACGAUGAGUGCUAGAUGUAGGGAGCUAUAAAUUCUCUGUAUCGCAGCUAACGCAAUAAGCACUCCGCCUGGGGAGUACGACCGCAAGGUUGAAACUCAAAGGAAUUGACGGGGGCCCGCACAAGCGGUGGAGCAUGUGGUUUAAUUCGAAGCAACGCGAAGAACCUUACCAGGUCUUGACAUACUCGUGCUAUUCCUAGAGAUAGGAAGUUCCUUCGGGACACGGGAUACAGGUGGUGCAUGGUUGUCGUCAGCUCGUGUCGUGAGAUGUUGGGUUAAGUCCCGCAACGAGCACAACCCCUAUUGUUAGUUGCCAUCAUUAAGUUGGGCACUCUAACGAGACUGCCGGUGAUAAACCGGAGGAAGGUGGGGAUGACGUCAAAUCAUCAUGCCCCUUAUGACCUGGGCUACACACGUGCUACAAUGGAUGGUACAACGAGUCGCGAGACAGUGAUGUUUAGCUAAUCUCUUAAAACCAUUCUCAGUUCGGAUUGUAGGCUGCAACUCGCCUACAUGAAGUCGGAAUCGCUAGUAAUCGCGGAUCAGCACGCCGCGGUGAAUACGUUCCCGGGCCU
rnacentral:rRNA from 1 species